GCUGUAGUAGCUCAGUGGUAGAGCACUCCCUUGGUAAGGGAGAGGUCUGAAGUUCAAAUCUUCUCGGCAGCACCA
rnacentral:tRNA from 1 species